CAAAAUCACUGCUAGGAAGGAGAUAGGAGAAGUAGAAGCCUAGGGGGGAGGUGGGAGCACGCACAGUCUGAAUGGGUCAGCUGUCUUGUAAAUGUGUGCUGUGGUGCCAAAUGGCAUAAAUCAGUUUGUUUUUCUGCUGUCCUGUUGACAGAGGUGAAGACGAUCAACUAAUGGGCAAUACAUAACCUGGAGAAAAGUCCUGCCCCUUUGCUGAGGGAUGUGCUUUGCAUCAGAACGCCAAAACAGGAGGUUGUACUCUAGGGUUGGUAACUGUUGGGAAGAGAGCUGUAAGGGAUCAGUUGUGUUCCCUAGCAGGAGAUGACUUGAGCUCACCCUUUAAGUUCUGUCCUUCCUUUGCUGAUUCAGUUAUUGUAUGGAAAUUCCCCUGUAUAUAAGCUGAUCUAAAGUAACCCUGCUGUUUCUGUAGUUCCUUGUACAGGCAUCAUCUGCACAGCUGUUGUAACUCAGGGUGAUGCUAAGAUCAUGUCAAACCGGUGGCUGGUUUUUCUCCUACAGAUGUCCCUGUGCUGUGCCACCAGCAAUGUUAGUGAGGUGAGAGCUUUCUCUUUGUUUCCCCACGGGGCUGUGGGAAGCUGUUCUACACCUUGGAAGAAACAGUGCUGAGCUGCACAAGAGGCUUGAUGAGAGAAUGGUUGCUGGACAGUGCAAGGGCUGCAGUGUUUGCUCUGGCAGCUUAGCUUUAGGGGGUCUUUCAUAAUUAAAGAUGUGCUUGCUGUGAAGGUUGUUGCUCUAGAUGCAGCCAGAGACUAUUUUCUUAAACUUCUAUUUUUCUUAAACUUCUAGCCCAGCAGGACGGAUGGGGAGACAAACUGAGUUCUACUGCUUUCCCAGGGAGAUGUUGAUCUACUCAGGCAUAUUCUUUCAUUCUGUCUUCCUUCUCUUUCCUGUCUAACCAAAGUACUGCAACUGUGGCUUUCCAGCUGCUGAAGAUGACUCCGUGGAGCACAAGAAGAAAGCCUUUUUCAUCAUGCUGUGUUUCUCUGCACCCGUUCAGCGGGGCUCUGGAGUUAACCUAGGCAGGAUCUAUGGAUUUACAGAACUGGGGAGCACUUGAAAUGUUUUUGGGGGCAGAGAGACGAGCCCAGCAACCUCUUCUGAGGAUGAUAAAGCUAAGCUGCUUCUGCUGUGGCAGAGAUGAGCAGUAUUUUAACAAGAAUGUGGUCACUGGAGGAGUCAGAACUGGUAGUGAAGCAGGAUACUUGCCUGGAGCUGGAUGGCCUAAAGUAAGAGAUGUGUUUCCUGAUGUCUUAGGGCUUCAGCAGGGAUUCUGCUCACUGAAAUUCUGGAGGCUUUUUUGCAAAUGGAAGAGCUGGUUUGUGCCCAUGACUGAGAAAAUACCACCUCAUUUAGCCAGCGCAGGAAAGCUGGAUGUUCAUCCGAGGCGGACAGAUCUGGGCUGAUGUCCAUGUGUGCUUUGGGUACUCCUGACCCCUGGGGGAGAUAUGGGUCAGAUUUCCCAGCAGGUGUGAAGCUUUCAAAGGGCUGCUGUGAGCCUUCCUGAGAGCACUGAGGUUCCAACCAGCAUCUGGGGAGCUGGUGUAGGGUGAGGCAAGGCCAGCCCUGUUGUUGCUGCAGGAUCAAGCAGCUGAUAUGUUGCCUUCCAUCCCCAGGCAGGGAUUUGGCCUUUGCUGCUUGGUACUUGUCCUCUGCUGGGACUGGCAUCCGUACUGAUGCACUCCUGGACACAGCAGGCUUUAUUUCCUUUCAGUUAAGGAAAAGGGGGAAAUAAAGAUGAAGAAAAAUAA
ensembl:lncRNA